rnacentral:rRNA from 1 species
GACGAACGCUGGCGGCGCGCCUAACACAUGCAAGUCGAACGAGCGAGAGGAGGUUUACUUUCUCAAGCGAGUGGCGAACGGGUGAGUAACGCGUGAGGAACCUGCCUCAAAGAGGGGGACAACAGUUGGAAACGACUGCUAAUACCGCAUAAGCCCACGACCCGGCAUCGGGUAGAGGGAAAAGGAGCAAUCCGCUUUGAGAUGGCCUCGCGUCCGAUUAGCUAGUUGGUGAGGUAACGGCCCACCAAGGCGACGAUCGGUAGCCGGACUGAGAGGUUGAACGGCCACAUUGGGACUGAGACACGGCCCAGACUCCUACGGGAGGCAGCAGUGGGGAAUAUUGCACAAUGGGGGAAACCCUGAUGCAGCGACGCCGCGUGGAGGAAGAAGGUCUUCGGAUUGUAAACUCCUGUUGUUGAGGAAGAUAAUGACGGUACUCAACAAGGAAGUGACGGCUAACUACGUG